UGGGGAAUAUUGGACAAUGGGCGAAAGCCUGAUCCAGCCAUGCCGCGUGUGUGAAGAAGGUCUUCGGAUUGUAAAGCACUUUAAGUUGGGAGGAAGGGCAUUAACCUAAUACGUUAGUGUUUUGACGUUACCGACAGAGUAAGCACCGGCUAACUCUGUGCCAGCAGCCGCGGUAAUACAGAGGGUGCAAGCGUUAAUCGGAAUUACUGGGCGUAAAGCGCGCGUAGGUGGUUUGUUAAGUUGGAUGUGAAAUCCCCGGGCUCAACCUGGGAACUGCAUUCAAAACUGACUGACUAGAGUAUGGUAGAGGGUGGUGGAAUUUCCUGUGUAGCGGUGAAAUGCGUAGAUAUAGGAAGGAACACCAGUGGCGAAGGCGACCACCUGGACUAAUACUGACACUGAGGUGCGAAAGCGUGGGGAGCAAACA
rnacentral:rRNA from 1 species